rnacentral:rRNA from 1 species
GAUGACGGCCCUAGUGGUUGUAAACUGCUUUUAUACGGGAAGAAAAGUUCCAACGUGUUGGAAUGUGACUGUACCGUAUGAAUAAGCAUCGGCUAACUCCGUGCCAGCAGCCGCGGUAAUACGGAGGAUGCAAGCGUUAUCCGGAUUCAUUGGGUUUAAAGGGUGCGUAGGCGGAUUGGUAAGUCAGUGGUGAAAUCCUCUCGCUUAACGGGAGAAUUGCCGUUGAUACUAUCAAUCUUGAGUACACUUGAAGUGGGCGGAAUGUGUCAUGUAGCGGUGAAAUGCAUAGAUAUGACACAGAACACCGAUUGCGAAGGCAGCUCACUAAAUUGUAACUGACGCUGAGGCACGAAAGCGUGGGGAGCAAACAGGAUUAGAUACCCUGGUAGUCCACGCUGCAAACGAUGAUCACUAGCUGUUGGCGAUACACUGUCAGCGGCUGAGCGAAAGUAUUAAGUGAUCCACCUGGGGAGUACGAUCGCAAGGUUGAAACUCAAAGGAAUUGACGGGGGCCCGCACAAGCGGAGGAGCAUGUGGUUUAAUUCGAUGAUACGCGAGGAACCUCACCUAGGCUUAAAUGCUUUUUGACCGUCCUGGAAACAGGAUUUCCCUUCGGGGCAAAUUGCAAGGUGCUGCAUGGUUGUCGUCAGCUCGUGCCGUGAGGUGUCGGGUUAAGUCCCAUAACGAGCGCAACCCCUAUUCUUAGUUGCCAUCAGGUAAUGCUGGGAACUCUAAGGAAACUGCCUACGCAAGUAGUGAGGAAGGUGGGGAUGACGUCAAAUCAGCACGGCCCUUACGCCUAGGGCUACACACGUGCUACAAUGGCCAGCAUAGUGGGUUGCUACCUGGUAACAGGAUGCUAAUCUCUAAAUCUGGUCUCAGUUCGGAUUGAAGUCUGCAACUCGACUUCAUGAAGUUGGAUUCGCUAGUAAUCGCGCAUCAGC